rnacentral:rRNA from 1 species
UGAUGCGGAGUGAAGCGCACAGCUCAAAUUGAAAUCUGCCUCUCGGUCGAGUGUAUUUGUAGAGAGAGUUUCGGAUGCGGCGGCGACUCAAGUUCUUUGGAACUGGACAUCAUAGAGGGUGACAAUCCCGUCUCUGUCGCGCACCAAAUCCGUGUGAAACUCCCUUCGACGAGUCGAGUUGUUUGGGAAUGCAGCUCAAAAUGGGUGGUAAAUUUCAUCUAAAGCUAAAUAUCAGCCAGAGACCGAUAGCGCACAAGUAGAGUGAUCGAAAGAUGAAAAGCACUUUGAAAAGAGAGUGAAAAAGCACGUGAAACUGUUUGGAGGGAAGCGCUUGUGACCAGACUUGCUCGCAGUGUUCAGCCUCCCGAAAGGGCGGUGCAUUCUCUGCGUUGCGGGCCAACAUCAGUUUCCGCGGCCGGAUAAAAGUCUGGAGAACGUAGCUCCUCCUCGGGGGAGUGUUAUAGCUCCAGAUACAAUGCGGCCAGCGGGGACUGAGGAUUUUUGCGCUUAUGCUCGGAUGUUGGCAUAAUGGUCAUCAGCGACCCGUCUUGAAACACGGACCAAGGAGUCGUUCAGUCGCGCGAGCGUUAGGGUGUCAAACCCUUGCGCGUAAUGAAAGUGAAUGUAGGUGGGAGCUUCUCGCGCACCAUCGACCGAUCCGAGCUCGCGAGGAUUUGAGUAUGAGUGCGGCUGAACGGACCCGAAAGAAGGUGAACUAUUGCUGACUAGGCCGAAGCCAGAGGAAACUCUGGUGGAGGGUCGCAGCGGUUCUGACGUGCAAAUCGAUCGUCAAAGCUGGCAAUAGGGGCGAAAGACUAAUCGAACCUUCUAGUAGCUGGUUCCUGUCGAAGUUUCCCUCAGGAUAGCAGCAACGAAAAACAGUCUCAUGAGGUAGAGCAACGAUUAGAGGCCUUGGGGUUGAAACAACCUUAACCUAUUCUCGAACUCCGAAUAUGUGAGAAGUCCUUGUUACUUGGUGAACGUGGACAUUGGAUUACGGCUGACAC